rnacentral:rRNA from 1 species
CCGCGUGUAGGAUGAAGGCCUUCGGGUUGUAAACUAACUGUUACACUUUACCAACGCCUGGACGUGAAUAGCGCUCCAGGGCGAGCAAGGUGAGAGAAAGCACAGGCUAACUCCGUGCCAGCAGCCGCGGUAAUACGGAGUGUGCAAGCGUUACUCGGAAUCACUGGGCAUAAAGCGCGCGUAGGCGGGACGACAAGUCGGAUGUGAAAUCCCUCAGCUUAACUGAGGAGCUGCAACCGAUACUGUCAUUCUCGAGGACGAAAGGGGAGAGCGGAACUUCUGGUGAAGCGGUGAAAUGCGUAGAUAUCAGAAGGAACGCCGGUGGCGAAAGCGGCUCUCUGGUUCGUAUCUGACGCUGAGGCGCGAAAGCUUGGGUAGCAAAACGGGAUUAGAUACCCCGGUAGUCCAAGCCGUAAACGAUGAGUACUAGGUAGCGGAGGCCUCGGUCGCC